UGUGUAGGCGGUUGUUUAAGUUUGGUGUGAAAUCUCCCGGCUCAACUGGGAGGGUGCGCCGAUACUGAAUGACUUGGAGUGCGGGAGAGGAAAGUGGAAUUCCUGGUGUAGCGGUGAAAUGCGUAGAUAUCAGGAGGAACACCGGUGGUGUAGACGGCUUUCUGGACCGUAACUGACGCUGAGACACGAAAGCGUGGGUAGCAAAACA
rnacentral:rRNA from 1 species